GUCAUCCUCCUUCAUCCUCUCAGCAUAUUUACUGAUAUCAAAACCAGAAUUAUCUUUGCCCCCAAAUGCAGACUCGAGAUGGUUCAUAUCAAAUAGAUCUUCCAUUAUUUUCAUGGUGUUAACUUCAUUAGAGUAAACAAACUUGACUUUGUUGUAAGUCUUUGGCUCUAGAAACACUUUUGCUGCCUGCAAUAACAGAUGGUAUCCUCGCAUUAAAAACUGAGACUAGACUAGCAUGGAAGCUAUAAACAGGAAGGCAGAAUGGAAAUAACCUAACACCAGGACCUAUUAUUGGCAAUACAGAAAUUUCACUAAACAGAACAUACUGGAGUAUGUUCCCCUAAACAAUGCUGAGAACACAACAGAUGGUUACUCUUGUGCCAUUCAGCUAUACAAUUCA
rnacentral:misc_RNA from 1 species